GAUGAACGCUGGCGGCGUGCUUAACACAUGCAAGUCGAACGAAGCACCUUGAUUCGAUUCUUCGGAUGAAGAUCUUGGUGACUGAGUGGCGGACGGGUGAGUAACGCGUGGGUAACCUGCCUCAUACAGGGGGAUAACAGUUAGAAAUGACUGCUAAUACCGCAUAAGACCACAGCACCGCAUGGUGCAGGGGUAAAAACUCCGGUGGUAUGAGAUGGACCCGCGUCUGAUUAGGUAGUUGGUGGGGUAACGGCCUACCAAGCCGACGAUCAGUAGCCGACCUGAGAGGGUGACCGGCCACAUUGGGACUGAGACACGGCCCAAACUCCUACGGGAGGCAGCAGUGGGGAAUAUUGCACAAUGGGGGAAACCCUGAUGCAGCGACGCCGCGUGAGCGAUGAAGUAUUUCGGUAUGUAAAGCUCUAUCAGCAGGGAAGAAAAUGACGGUACCUGACUAAGAAGCACCGGCUAAAUACGUG
rnacentral:rRNA from 1 species